rnacentral:rRNA from 1 species
CCCAGCAGUUAUAUCACCCUGCAACUCACAACUGGUAACCCACUAAAGCUAAGCAGGUGUGAGCCAGGUCAGUACCUGGAUGAGAGACCUCCUGGAAAAGCUAAGGUUGCUGUUGGAA